UACGAAGGGUGCUAGCGUUGUUCGGAAUCACUGGGCGUAAAGGGCGCGUAGGCGGCUUUAUAAGUCGGGGGUGAAAGCCUGUGGCUCAACCACAGAAUUGCCUUCGAUACUGUAGAGCUUGAGACCGGAAGAGGUAAGUGGAACUGCGAGUGUAGAGGUGAAAUUCGUAGAUAUUCGCAAGAACACCAGUGGCGAAGGCGGCUUACUGGGCCGGUUCUGACGCUGAGGCGCGAAAGCGUGGGGAGCAAACAGG
rnacentral:rRNA from 1 species